UACGGGGGGGGCAAGCGUUGUUCGGAAUUACUGGGCGUAAAGGGCUCGUAGGCGGCCAACUAAGUCGGAUGUGAAAUCCCCAGGCUUAACCUGGGAACUGCAUCCGAUACUGGAUGGCUUGAAUCCGGGAGAGGGAUGCAGAAUUCCAGGUGUAGCGGUGAAAUGCGUAGAGAUCGGGAAGAACACCAGUGGCGAAGGCGGCGCUCUGGGCUGCAACUGACGCUGAGAUGCGAAAGUGUGGGGAGCAAACGGG
rnacentral:rRNA from 1 species